CAGCCGCCGCGGUAAUACGGAGGGGGCUAGCGUUGUUCGGAAUUACUGGGCGUAAAGCGCACGUAGGCGGCUUGGUAAGUUAGAGGUGAAAGCCUGGAGCUCGACUCCAGUAUUGCCUUUGAGACUGCCGAGCUAGCAGGUGAGAGAGGUAAGUGGAAUUCCGAGUGUAGAGGUGGAAUUCGUAGAUAUUCGGAAGAACACCAGUGGCGAAGGCGGCUUACUGGCUCAUACUGGACGCUGAGGUGCGAAAGCGUGGGGAGCAAACAGGAUUAGAUACCCCAGUAGUCCCUGUCUCUUAUAC
rnacentral:rRNA from 1 species